UACGUAGGGUCCGAGCGUUGUCCGGAAUUAUUGGGCGUAAAGAGCUCGUAGGCGGUUUGUCGCGUCUGCUGUGAAAACCCGAGGCUCAACCUCGGGCCUGCAGUGGGUACGGGCAGACUAGAGUGCGGUAGGGGAGAUUGGAAUUCCUGGUGUAGCGGUGGAAUGCGCAGAUAUCAGGAGGAACACCAAUGGCGAAGGCAGAUCUCUGGGCCGUAACUGACGCUGAGGAGCGAAAGCAUGGGGAGCGAACAGG
rnacentral:rRNA from 1 species